UACGGAGGGUGCGAGCGUUGUCCGGAAUCACUGGGCGUAAAGGGCGCGUAGGCGGCGCGGAAAGUCAACGGUGAAAGCUUGGGGCUCAACCCCGAGUCGGCCGUCGAUACUUCCGUGCUCGAGCACUGUAGAGGCAGGUGGAAUUCCGGGUGUAGCGGUGGAAUGCGUAGAGAUCCGGAAGAACACCGGUGGCGAAGGCGGCCUGCUGGGAUCUUGCUGACGCUGAGGCGCGACAGCGUGGGGAGCAAACAGG
rnacentral:rRNA from 1 species